rnacentral:rRNA from 1 species
ACGAACGCUGGCGGCAUGCCUAACACAUGCAAGUCGAACGAGACCUUCGGGUCUGGUGGCGCACGGGUGCGUAACGCGUGGGAACCUGCCCUUAGGUUCGGAAUAACUCCCCGAAAGGGGUGCUAAUACCGGAUAAUGUCUUCGGACCAAAGAUUUAUCGCCUUUGGAUGGGCCCGCGUUGGAUUAGCUAGUUGGUAGGGUAAAAGCCUACCAAGGCGACGAUCCAUAGCUGGUCUGAGAGGAUGAUCAGCCACACUGGGACUGAGACACGGCCCAGACUCCUACGGGAGGCAGCAGUGGGGAAUAUUGGACAAUGGGCGAAAGCCUGAUCCAGCAAUGCCGCGUGAGUGAUGAAGGCCUUAGGGUUGUAAAGCUCUUUUACCCGGGAUGAUAAUGACAGUACCGGGAGAAUAAGCUCCGGCUAACUCCGUG